CUUUUGUACAGCAUUUGUAUUCUGCGAUCAGUUAUGAAUAUGAAUAUUUAAGUAUGUUUCCAUCAAGAGAAAGAUAUCAUUAGAAGUUUGUAUAAGGUGUGUAUAUUUUUUAUUGAAUCAGAAAAUAUACACAAAUAUCAUAUUAAUAAAGUUGAAGCAUGGUAAAGAAAUGUACAGGACAUCAGUCAUCAUCCUCUAAUCAGAGACCUCCAUCCAUCCUGACAGGCCUGGGUUAAAAUACCGAUGAGUACAUUUUAUAUUAUAACAAGAACCUUUCUGUCAUUGCCUGCCUCAGUGCAAACCAAAACAAACGCGAGGCAGACUCUAAAGGUUUCCGGUAAAGUUUCACUUUCUGUCCCAGGUGUGUCAGGAGGUACUCUUCUCUCCAGCUCCGUCUUUAAACAAUCUGUCACAUUCUGGCAAAAGUAUGUACACAUUUUACAUGUCAUAUAAAAUGGGACAAAAGCCAAAGUAAAGAAAAAUACAAAUGUAACACCAGACUUGCUCACCACCAAGAUCUUACAACUUUCUCGAGUCUCUUCAUGCCUGGAGUUGCAAGCUGGACUAAGGCUUCAUCAUAUCAUACAAUCCACGUUAUAUCCCGAUCUCUGCUCGUGGCAGUCUUUUUGCACUUUUCACAUUCAGUAAUGUUUUCAGUCUUCCUUAGGUAAGACUGUAACAAAUGUGCUGAAAAAUAGGAACUCCUAACAGGUUUUACAGCCUCCCUCUUCCUCACAACUAGCUUUCCUUUCUUCUGGCUCUCUAAAGCAAAGCUGAAGGCAAAACGAACGAUUAGGACAAUAACACAGACAGACACGUUUACUGACGAAAAGCAGCCUCGCUCCCAUUUAUCCCCUUCCUCUGUUCCUCUCGGUGGUCCACGUUAAAGCAAUCGCCUGGCUCGCCUCUCGUAGGCCUGGAUACACUUUUGUUUUGCAUUUGUCUCCAUGUUUCCUUUUUUUUAUUUUUUAAAGAUAUCUAUUAAUAAUAAAGAAUACCACAAGCAGCAGAUGUAGCUCUCAAACAUUAGCAGAUUGAUAGUUGUUGAUUUUAUCACAGGUGUAAACCACAAAAUAAUUGACUUAGUCCAUUUUGUGCACUUCGAUGGUUUAUUUUAUGCGAGUUGAGUUGAGCCUCUGAAUUGACCGAGUCGACCCCCGUCCGGCAACACUCUCUGAAAAGCAGUAUCAAACGGUUCCAGGCUAGAGUUCGUCUGUCCCACUGGUUUUCCAUCAUCUCAGCAAGCUUUAACACUGGGCAUGCUCACACCGCAUACUGACAGACACACGGACGAUCGAUCCCCCUUUAAGGGCCUGUAAUGCUUUCUCCUCCUGCAGACACUCAUGUUUUCAUUCAUCCAUUUGAAAAGUAAGGGGUAUUUGAUACCCUGCAGCUGCUGAACCGCAAGAGAAAAAAAGAAGAACAAAACAGGAAAAUGUUAGUCUUUAAAAGAUGAAGAUUUUCAGCUGAUCACUCUGUGCUGCUUCUGUUUUGUAGCCUUAGUCAAAUUGUAGUCCACCCGUUUAUAUGCCUGCUAAGUGCUGUUGUACUGCGCUACUGCUACCAUUAAUACUACUUAAAUUCUGUUU
ensembl:lncRNA